AUUGUAGAAUCGUCCUAGAUAGAGCGUUAGUUGUGACCAAACAAUUUUAUCGCUGAGCGAAGUGGCUGGUUCUAGCAUUCUUGAUCAUUGUUACUAAUACUGGAUCUGUAAAAUAUCAUUUUAUUCAUAAUUGAGGGUUCAUCUGCUUGACAUUGUUAUUCAUCCCAACCGUACGUACCAUCUGAUAAUUAUGAUAGGCCAACAGCCUGUGGGAUGUGAUGUGCCACCUGAAUGCCAUCCAUCUUUACCAUCCUCAGUAGAUAGGUGCUCUGUCUCUGUGAUAAUAUACUUUUUUGGAUAGCAUCAUAGCUUUUCACCUUUGCAGUUUGAAGGCUGGUAUAACUGGUCUUUUUUAUUAGAGAAUAACUUCUACCGGUGCAUCUAUCAAAGAGCUUAAAUCAGUCCCAAUAUACACCUGCCACUUAGCCCACCCACUACACCUAAGAUGCGCCCACACCGCACCAAAUCCAGUUCUCUCUCCCACCCUCGUCUCUCGAAGCCAGUUCUCCCUCCCCUCCCCUCACUCACUCUCGUCUCUCUCUCACGAAGCCAGAGCCCUCCCCUCUCCUCACUCACCCUUGACGCCGUGGGUUCUUCCCUCCCCUCACCCUCGUCUCUCACCGAACCCACGAUUAAAAACACUUACCGGUGAAAAGAUUUGCUCUUUGCAAUUUGUUCAAUGUUUACGAGAAUCUAAAAACAGGUGGCAUAUUCUGUCUGCAAAGUCAAUAAAAAAGCAAGCAAAAGACAAAAGGACAAAGCACCAAAAAAGGAGAAGAAAAAGCUCUCCAUCAAAGUCAAAGUUAGAUGAUCAGAGGUGGUGGUGAAUUAGAUUGCCGGAUUCCUAGGUUUUUACUUGUUUGGUGGACCUGAUUGCGUCUAGUCUUUAACAUUCAACGAACUUUCGGCCAAUUUUAACAAGUUUUGGGUUUUUUCCUUUUUCUCUAUGGCGUAGAGGUGGAACUUUAUCUUCUUCUCUAUUUUUUUCUCUCUCUAAGUUCUGACUUCUGACCAAUCCUAUCCUUGUGUGGUUUAUUGUUGAAGACUUACUACUGGGUUUUUGUUUUUUGUUGUUCCUUGAUCCUGAAUAGCCUCUAAUUCUAUUGCACCUAAUAUUAGCUGAUCGACAAAGAAAUUGUGCAGUUCCUCGGUGGUGGAGAAGGUGAGCUUCAGCUUCCUGUAACAUUUUGGAUGGCUCGACGAUGAACUGGCCGCGUGGAACUGGUGGCGGCAAUACAACUCGUCGGCUAUGAGAGGCAGAGGGAAGGGAAGAACAUUUCCUUUAGCAGUGUAUUUCAUUCUAGGUAGAAAUCACAUGGGCUGAAGUUUAUGGUGUUAAUUUAUGUAAUGCUGAGAUGGCAUCCUUAUAUUGGUUGCUGUUAAAAGGCUGAAAUCAGCCCGUACCGUCCCAAAGCGUUUUUCUUUUUAUUAUCACGAUUACAGAAUAAGCAACUAGGUAUGCUGUUUAAGAAUUGUGACACUAUGGGUACUCCCGAAAAUGAUCUGUUCGUUUGUGUUCUUUUUCAGCAAUUUGCAGAAGAAAUUAGUGUUGGAACUGUGACGAAUGACAAGAGUAUUCUUAAGAAUUCAAUGCACCAUUGGCUAUUGACCCACCUUUUUUUUCCCUUCCUUCUGUUUAGUGAUUAUUGAAUCUCAAUUAUAAAUGUGCACUUGAACGGUCGUUCAGAUGUUGUUUAGAUGUACAUGAGUUUUCACCAAAUAAAUUCCACAUUUAUGUAUAUGUCAAAUGGUCCUGGAUAUGCAUCAGUAUGUGUUUUGAAAAAACUCUAAAUGCAGGCACACUGGGGAAGGCCCCACGGACGACGUCCUACAUGGAGUUGAAAUGCCCUGUUUGGAUUAAAUGAAACGACAAAUCCGAAAGGUGCUACCGCCUCCAUCACUGUCGCCAGCAGCAGCAACACCACCAUCGCCAAACAACCCAGCAACGACACUCAAUGAACCCUCCACAGUUGGAGGAGCAGAUCCACUCAAUGAACCCAGCAACCCGAAGACCGCGUUGAGUCCGAAUGCCUUCCCUCCUUUAACAGAUUGCAAGAUCAUCUAAGGCAUCAAGUCAAUCGUCAUCAAGUGUAGUUGAUGCGCUUGAAAUGGAAUCACCAAGUAGGUGUGGCUUGAAAGCACCAUUAAAGAUCUCCCGCAUGGACAAAAUGUUUGGAAGGAAAUUUUAUGCCUGUCAGAAGUAUAAUACGGUAAUUAAUUGUCAUGUUUUUUUCUUGGUUUUGAAUGCAUGUACAAAGUUGUUAUAUUUGAAACAUGAAAGUCUUGAAUUGUAUGUAAGGAGAAGGAAUAUGUCAAUUCUUCAUAUGGGUAGAUAUACUUCAGUUGGUACGGGAGAAAAUUCUAAUAAGAGAGAAUGAAGUUUGGAAGAGGGAUGAUGCUAUACUGGAUCGCAUCUCUCGCAUAUCUUGUAAUAGUUUUUAGUUGAUUCGGACUAUAGCUGUAUCAUGUUAGUUUAAAUGUAAAUAGAUUGUUCGGAUCGUAACGUAUAUGCUAUAUGCUCUAUGCGAAGAAUUAUGGCAA